AGCCUGACUCACGCUACAGCGUCUGACGUCAUCACUAGAUGCGGGCGGGGCCUUUUGGAUUCACUAGACCAAGCAUGAUUAUUUUGCUGCUGCGGCCGCAAUUUUCACUCCACAGCCAUAAAAAACACAUCAAAAUGGAGGUACACUCGUCCUGCUUCUCACAAAAUCGGUCUGAAGUCAUGAAAUUGUACAGCUUGCCCAGGAGGUGAGUACAUUCCUUCAGAGCCAGAGAUUCUGCACUUGUCAUGGGCUGUGUGCUUCGAUCGCACACGCACAUGCACACGCACGGACUUGGCCGCUCGUGCGCGCGCGGGCACACACACAUACACACACACUGUUUCCAUGAGUGCAUUACUGUCUGUCUUUCUCUCUUACUGUCUCUCUGUCAGAUUCUGCACUUGUCAUGGGCUGUGUGCUUCGAUCACACACGCACAUGCACACGCACGGGCUCGGCCGCGCGCGCGCGCGCGGGCACACACACACACACACACACUGUUUCCAUGUGUGCAUUACUCUUGCUGUCAGUAGAAAAUACAGCCCCAAUAUGAACUUUGUUGUUACAGUUCUUGUCUUUAACUCUUUUAACAUACUAACUUCUUCUUUUUCUUCUACUAAUGCUUUUCUUUUCUAUACUUUCUACAUUUAUACAAUUAAUUUAACUUCAGCUGUUUCAUACUUUCUACAUUCAGAUGUAGGGCAGUAACUGAAGCAGGGCAAUAGAUGGUGCUGUUCUGCAUUCUCAAGUUACUAUGGUUGGAUGCUGCAGACUGCAAAAAUCUGUUUUACUAUUUGUACAUUUAAUAGGAACAUUGUUACACAUUGUUUAAAGGCAUUUGUUUUUCAAAUUCAAUUAUCCAUAUCAGUUCUGUUUAUUCACAUCAAUCAUAUACAUUUUUCACUUAGGCUAUCAGACAAUUUGUACAUUAAUCCAACUAAUUUACCUCCAGCUAUACUACAAUUCUUCCAUUCAUACAAUUUCUUCUUCUUCUACUCCACCUUUUCUACAGUUUUUCCGUUUAUACCUUCCUCCAUUUUUCAUUGGCAGUUUUGCAUUGCUUUUUCAGCUUUCAGCACUCAGCAUUUCCACGCAUUUUCUGCAAGGAAAUGCAAUUUUUCUAGUUAUUAUUAUUAUUCUUCCGUACCUUUUUUGGCCCUUUUCAACUCCUUACCACUUUGUGCUAUUUUCACCAUUCAAACUUUAUACUAAUGCACUCCUUCAGGACAUUACGGCUAUUACUUUUCACCUUUCUACCAUUUAUACUUUUUGCAAUAUUUCACUUUUUCUGCAAAAUUUGUUCCAUUACAAAUGAAUGGAGAUACAGCUAUAACACCUUCUCACCCUUAUAACUUCUGCAUACUUUCACCUACAGACCUCAUUUUUGCUUUAAAAUGUUCAGCAACAUGUCUGCUACAAAAGUUGUAUUCACUCCUUUUUGCUAUUUCCUACCGUUUUUGCACAAUUUCGCUUGGAGCAACAUGAAGUCUUCUGCCUUUUUCAGCCUGACUCACGCUACAGCGUCUGACGUCAUAACUAGAUGCGGGCGGGGCCUUUUGGAUUCACUAGACCAAGCAUGAUUAUUUUGCUGCUGCGGCCGCAAUUUUCACUCCACAGCCAUAAAAAACACAUCAAAAUGGAGGUACACUCGUCCUGCUUCUCACAAAAUCGGUCUGAAGUCAUGAAAUUGUACAGCUUGCCCAGGAGGUGAGUACAUUCCUUCAGAGCCAGAGAUUCUGCACUUGUCAUGGGCUGUGUGCUUCGAUCGCACACGCACAUGCACACGCACGGACUCGGCCGCUCGUGCGCGCGCGGGCACACACACACGCACACACACACACUGUUUCCAUGAGUGUAUUACUGUCUCUCUUACUAUCUCUCUGUCAGAUUCUGCACUUGUCAUGGGCUGUGUGCUUCGAUCGCACACGCACGGACUUGGCCGCUCGUGCGCGCGCGGGCACACACACAUACACACACACUGUUUCCAUGAGUGCAUUAAUGUCUCUCUUUCUCUCUUACUGUCUCUCUGUCAGAUUCUGCACUUGUCAUGGGCUGUGUGCUUCGAUCACACACGCAUAUGCACACGCACGGGCUCGGCCGCGCGCGCGCGCGGGCACACACACACACACACACACACACACACACACACACACACACACACUGUUUCCAUGUGUGCAUUACUGUCUCUCUGUCAGUAGAAAAUACAGCCCCAAUAUGAACUUUGUUGUUACAGUUCUUGUCUUUAACUCUUUUAACAUACUAACUUCUUCUUUUUCUUCUACUUCUGCUUUUCUUUUCUAUACUUUCUACAUUUAUACAAUUAAUUUAACUUCAGCUGUUUCAUACUUUCUGCAUUCAGAUGUAGGGCAGUAACUGAAGCAGGGCAAUAGAUGGUGCUGUUCUGCAUUCUCAAGUUACUAUGGUUGGAUGCUGCAGACUGCAAAAAUCGGUUUUACUAUUUGUACAUUUAAUAGGAACAUUGUUACACAUUGUUUAAAGGCAUUUGUUUUUCAAAUUCAAUUAUCCAUAUCAGUUCUGUUUAUUCACAUCAAUCAUAUACAUUUUUCACUUAGGCUAUCAGACAAUUUGUACAUUAAUCCAACUAAUUUACCUCCAGCUAUACUACAAUUCUUCCAUUCAUACAAUUUCUUCUUCUUCUACUCCACCUUUUCUACAGUUUUUCCGUUUAUACCUUCCUCCAUUUUUUAUUGGCAGUUUUGCAUUGCUUUUUCAGCUUUCAGCACUCAGCAUUUCCACGCAUUUUCUGCAAGGAAAUGCAAUUUUUCUAGUUAUUAUUAUUAUUAUUAUUCUUCCGUACCUUUUUUGGCCCUUUUCAACUCCUUACCACUUUGUGCUAUUUUCACCAUUCAAACUUUAUACUAAUGCACUCCUUCAGGACAUUACGGCUAUUACUUUUCACCUUUCUACCAUUUAUACUUUUUGCAAUAUUUCACUUUUUCUGCAAAAUUUGUUCCAUUACAAAUGAAUGGAGAUACAGCUAUAACACCUUCUCACCCUUAUAACUUCUGCAUACUUUCACCUACAGACCUCAUUUUUGCUUUAAAAUGUUCAGCAACAUGUCUGCUACAAAAGUUGUAUUCACUCCUUUUUGCUAUUUCCUACCGUUUUUGCACAAUUUCGCUUGGAGCAACAUGAAGUCUUCUGCCUUUUUCAGCCUGACUCACGCUACAGCGUCUGACGUCAUAACUAGAUGCGGGCGGGGCCUUUUGGAUUCACUAGACCAAGCGUGUUUAUUUUGCAGCCGCGGCCGCAAAUUUCACUCCACAGCCAUAAAAAACACAUCAAAAUGGAGGUACACUCGUCCUGCUUCUCACAAAAUCGGUCUGAAGUCAUGAAAUUGUACAGCUUGCCCAGGAGGUGAGUACAUUCCUUAGGAGCCAGAGAUUCUGCACUUGUCAUGGGCUGUGUGCUUCGAUCGCACACGCACGGACUUGGCCGCUCGUGCGCGCGCGGGCACACACACACACACACACACACACACACACACACACACACACACACACACACACACACUGUUUCCAUGAGUGCAUUACUGUCUGUCUUUCUCUCUUACUGUCUCUCUGUCAGAUUCUGCACUUGUCAUGGGCUGUGUGCUUCGAUCACACACGCACAUGCACGGGCUCGGCCGCGCGCGCGCGCGCGGCCACACUCACACACUCACACACACUGUUUCCAUGUGUGCAUUACUGUCUCUCUGUCAGUAGAAAAUACAGCCCCAAUAUGAACUUUGUUGUUACAGUUCUUGUCUUUAACUCUUUUAACAUACUAACUUCUUCUUUUUCUUCUACUUCUGCUUUUCUUUUCUAUACUUUCUACAUUUAUACAAUUAAUUUAACUUCAGCUGUUUCAUACUUUCUACAUUCAGAUGUAGGGCAGUAACUGAAGCAGGGCAAUAGAUGGUGCUGUUCUGCAUUCUCAAGUUACUAUGGUUGGAUGCUGCAGACUGCAAAAAUCGGUUUUACUAUUUGUACAUUUAAUAGGAACAUUGUUACACAUUGUUUAAAGGCAUUUGUUUUUCAAAUUCAAUUAUCCAUAUCAGUUCUGUUUAUUCACAUCAAUCAUAUACAUUUUUCACUUAGGCUAUCAGACAAUUUGUACAUUAAUCCAACUAAUUUACCUCCAGCUAUACUACAAUUCUUCCAUUCAUACAAUUUCUUCUUCUUCUACUCCACCUUUUCUACAGUUUUUCCGUUUAUACCUUCCUCCAUUUUUCACUGGCAGUUUUGCAUUGCUUUUUCAGCUUUCAGCACUCAGCAUUUCCACGCAUUUUCUGCAAGGAAAUGCAAUUUUUCUAGUUAUUAUUAUUAUUAUUAUUAUUAUUCUUCCGUACCUUUUUUGGCCCUUUUCAACUCCUCACCACUUUGUGCUAUUUUCACCAUUCAAACUUUAUACUAAUGCACUCCUUCAGGACAUUACGGCUAUUACUUUUCACCUUUCUACCAUUUAUACUUUUUGCAAUAUUUCACUUUUUCUGCAAAAUUUGUUCCAUUACAAAUGAAUGGAGAUACAGCUAUAACACCUUCUCACCCUUAUAACUUCUGCAUACUUUCACCUACAGACCUCAUUUUUGCUUUAAAAUGUUCAGCAACGUGUCUGCUACAAAUGUUGUAUUCACUCCUUUUUGCUAUUUCCUACCGUUUUUGCACAAUUUCGCUUGGAGCAACAUGAAGUUGUCUGCCUUUUUCAGCCUGACUCACGCUACAGCGUCUGACGUCAUCACUCGAUGCGGGCGGGGCCUUUUGGAUUCACUAGACCAAGCGUGUUUAUUUUGCUGCUGCGGCCGCAAUUUUCACUCCACAGCCAUAAAAAACACAUCAAAAUGGAGGUACACUCGUCCUGCUUCUCACAAAAUCGGUCUGAAAUCAUGAAAUUGUACAGCUUGCCCAGGAGG
rnacentral:lncRNA from 1 species